UGGGGAAUAUUGGACAAUGGGCGCAAGCCUGAUCCAGCCAUACCGCGUGGGUGAAGAAGGCCUUCGGGUUGUAAAGCCCUUUUGUUGGGAAAGAAAUCCAGCCGGCUAAUACCUGGUUGGGAUGACGGUACCCAAAGAAUAAGCACCGGCUAACUUCGUGCCAGCAGCCGCGGUAAUACGAAGGGUGCAAGCGUUACUCGGAAUUACUGGGCGUAAAGCGUGCGUAGGUGGUCGUUUAAGUCCGUUGUGAAAGCCCUGGGCUCAACCUGGGAACUGCAGUGGAUACUGGGCGACUAGAGUGUGGUAGAGGGUAGCGGAAUUCCUGGUGUAGCAGUGAAAUGCGUAGAGAUCAGGAGGAACAUCCAUGGCGAAGGCAGCUACCUGGACCAACACUGACACUGAGGCACGGAAGCGUGGGGAGCAAACAGGAUUAGAUACCCUGGUAGUCCACGCCCUAAACGAUGCGAACUGGAUGUUGGGUGCAAUUUGGCACGCAGUAUCGAAGCUAACGCGUUAAGUUCGCCGNCUGGGGAGUACGGUCGCAAGACUG
rnacentral:rRNA from 1 species